UUUCGCGAGACAGAGAGAGAUCCGUGAACGACGAUCGCGACGUACGAGAUCGGCUCGCGCGUAUUCGUUCGUGUUGUUCGAAAUAAACGUCCAGCCUGACGAGCUGGAAGGUGGGAAAUAGUAAAAAAGAAAGGAAAGGAUCUGUUGCAAGAACAACGAUACAGGUAGGUUCGCUCGCCGAAGACGAAAGUCACAGCAAGUCGAUCGAGAAAUAGAGUGUGUGUGUGUGAGUCCGAUCGCGGGAUCCCGUGGUGGCGACGGACAAGCAGAUACGAGAAAGAGGGAGAGAAAGAGAGGGAGCGAAAGAACGCGAAGUGAAUAACGGCGCGCGCGCGCGCGCGCUCGAUAUCGCCAACGUCGUUUGCGAUCGUCGUCCUCGUCGUACACAAAACCGUUGGCGUAGUCAAUCGGUGAUCGCGCGCGUCGUUCGCUGAGCGCCGGUAAAGCGCGCAGCGGAAACACAGUUUCACGGAUCGGGACCUUUGCGCGCGCGCACGGCAGGGAGGAAGGGGGGGAGGUCGGUGCGCGAGGCGCCGCGCCGGAACGAGAGGCGAGACGGCCGUCGUCGUUGCCCGCCGCCGCCACCACCGCCACCACCACCAUCGUCAUCACCACCGUCGUUGCGACUAACACCAUUAGCAUCACCAAUACCACACCACUAUCGUCGUUAGCUUAGACACGAAUAGUGGUGAGCAGUGGCAGCAGUCGUACAACUACCACCACAAACAUCGUCACAAUCCGUUGCCACCGUCACGAAGAUUGCCGCGAUCCACACACACCGAUCGCAGUCGUGGCGACAUUCGGAGGUGCGUGAAGGGAAUAGAGUACGUGUACAACCAGUAUAACGGGUAGUACGGGUACUCGAGUCGCGUACUUAGCUAUUUAAUAAUACGGAGGGUGGAAUAUAUGCUGUGGGCGUCCCCCGUACGAGUGGGGGCACUUGAUGGCCGCAGAAAUUGGGCGAACUGCGAGCAAACAUCUAUCGUCGGAGUGUGGUAAAGCGACGUCGCUGUCGAGUGGCGACGUGAGCUUCGAUAGUAGCCGGGUAAUCAUAGGAACGGAACAGCGGCAGCAGUCGCAACAAUCGCAUUAUCAGCAACGUCAAUUGUCGCCGUCGUCGCAGCAGCAGCAGCAACAACAGGAUCGGACUUCACCUGCUACUACGGUACAGAUCAGAAAGGCGCUCGGUAAAACGACUCCUCCUCCUUCUCCUCCUUCUUACCGGAAUCGCGUACCGUUUGCGACCGCGCAGCUAGCAGCGGAGAACAAUCAGCAACAGCAGCAGGCGCUGAUCAACCCAACCAACGUAACCUCGACGGCGGAGGCCGUCAACGAGGUACCCGGCGCCAUCAAAACGACCAUCAACAUCGGCUUCGCGAUGAACCACGUAAACGAUCAGGAGAAUCUCAAGCAGCUUAGCCUCGCACCCAUUCAGGUUAACGAGGUCGAAGAGAUGGACACACAGGAGGAAACCCCAAAUGAUGGUGGGGGAGACGGAACUGACAACCGUCCUAUAAAUGGUGAACCAGAAUUAGCUUGUAUAGUUCAAGAUCAAGAAAUGGAGGAAGAUGAGGCCCGAUCAGAAGCUACUUUUCGAUAUACUGUUGAGAAUAUAUCUAAGAUGAAAGAUUCACAAUUGUCUCCUGCAUGUUAUGUUCGUAAUUUACCAUGGAAAAUAAUGGUGAUGCCACGAUCAAGUCAAACACAAGAGAGACAACCACAAAGAUCUCUUGGAUUUUUCCUUCAGUGUAAUGGAGAGAGCGAAUCCACGUCUUGGAGUUGUUACGCUGUUGCUGAGCUACGUCUUCUUUCUUGCAAAGAAGGACAAGAACCAUUUAGCAGAAAAAUUCAACACCUCUUCUACAGUAAAGAGAAUGACUGGGGCUUUAGUCAUUUUAUGACAUGGCAAGAUGUUCUAGAUCCUGAUAGAGGUUUCAUAAAAGACGAUUCAAUCACUCUUGAGGUUCAUGUAGUGGCUGACGCACCUCAUGGAGUUAGUUGGGACAGUAAAAAACACACAGGAUAUGUAGGCUUGAAAAAUCAGGGUGCUACAUGUUAUAUGAAUUCUUUAUUGCAAACUCUUUAUUUUACAAAUCAAUUGCGAAAGGCAGUAUACAAAAUGCCAACAGAGAGCGACGAUUCGAGUAAGAGUGUUGCACUAGCCUUACAAAGGGUAUUUCAUGAAUUACAGUUUUCCGACAAACCUGUCGGUACAAAGAAAUUGACCAAAAGUUUUGGAUGGGAAACGCUGGAUUCUUUCAUGCAGCAUGAUGUGCAGGAAUUUUUACGAGUGCUAUUAGACAAGUUGGAGAGCAAAAUGAAGGGAACGUGCGUGGAAGGUACAGUGCCAAAAUUGUUUGAAGGAAAAAUGGUCUCUUUUAUCAAGUGUAAAAAUAUAGACUAUAAAUCCACAAGAGUUGAAACAUUUUAUGACAUACAGUUAAAUAUAAAGGGCAAGAAAAACAUUUACGAGUCUUUUAGUGAUUAUGUGAGUACAGAAAGUCUCGACGGCGAUAAUAAAUACGAUGCAGGAGAACACGGAUUACAAGAAGCGGAAAAAGGCGUCAUCUUUUCAUCAUUUCCACCAGUUUUACAUCUACAUUUAAUGCGUUUUCAAUAUGAUCCAGUUACGGAUUGUUCAGUCAAAUUUAACGACAGGUUUGAAUUUUAUGAGAAAAUUAGUCUUGGAAAAUACCUGCAGAACAAAGAAGCGACAAGUGCGGAUUACACAUUACACGCUGUUCUGGUUCAUAGUGGCGAUAAUCAUGGAGGACAUUAUGUUGUAUUUAUUAAUCCCGCUGGCGAUGGCAGGUGGUGUAAGUUCGACGACGAUGUUGUCUCACGAUGUACAAAGCAGGAAGCUAUUGAACAUAACUACGGUGGUCAAGACGAGGAUAUGUCUAUGGCUGUGAAACAUUGCACUAACGCUUAUAUGUUAGUUUACAUAAGAAAUUCAGAGCUGGAAAACGUUUUGCAAGAGGUCAAGGAAGAGGACAUACCUCAAGAGCUGGUGGAGAGGCUGCAAGAGGAGAAGAGGCUGGAACAAAUAAGAAGAAAGGAAAGAACGGAAGCAUACUUGUACAUGACCGUCAAUGUCCUUCUCGAGGAUAGCUUUGACGGUCACCAAGGAAAUGAUCUCUACGACCCAGAGCACGCUUUAUAUCGUGUAUUUCGCGUACGUAAGCAGGCCACUGUGCACGAGUUUCUCGAGCUACUGAGCGAUAGUCUGAAAUAUCCAAUAGAACAGAUACGCGUUUGGCCCUUCAGUACACGUUCAAAUCAAACCUGUAGACCUACGAUAAUUGAAUCGGACGCCGAUCUUCAAAAGCCUAUCAUUGACUGCGCGGAAAAUCACAAUCCGUGGAACGUUUUUGUUGAACUUGUACCUCCAGACUCUGAUAUGACAGCGUUACCGCCUUUCGACAAGGACACUGAUGUUUUACUCUUUUUUAAACUAUACGAUCCUAAAAAUAAAAAAAUUCAUUACUGCGGUCAUCACUAUAUGCCUGUUGUAGCUAAAGUCCAGGAGCUUAUACCAAUUUUAAACGAACGCGCCGGAUUCCCACCAGAUACAGAACUCGCUUUAUAUGAGGAAAUUAAACCGAAUUUAGUUGAAAAAAUAGAUAACUUGUCGGAGCCUUUAGAAAAAGUUCUGGAGGAAUUAAUGGACGGUGACAUUAUUGUAUUUCAAAAAGAAGGAGACAAUGAAAUGUAUGAACUUCCAACGUGUCGAGAAUAUUUUAAAGAUCUAUUCUAUAGGGUAGAAGUAACAUUUUGUGAUAAAUUGAUUCCAAACGAUCCAGGUUUUACAAUAGAACUUUCACUGAGAAUGACGUAUGAUCAAAUGGCAAAAGCUGUAGCGCAACGAGUCGGCACAGAUCCGUAUCUUUUACAAUUCUUUAAAUGUCAAAAUUAUAAAGAUUCUCCCGGCCAUCCUUUAAAGUGUACAUUCGACGGCACGCUUAAAGAACUGGUUGCAUAUUGCAAAACGAAAGUAAAGAAAUUAUUUUAUCAGCAGCUCAGUAUUAGGGUGAACGAGCUAGAAAAUAAGAAACAGUUCAAAUGCAUAUGGGUAGGACCGUCGCUUAAAGAGGAGAAAGAAAUGAUCCUUUACCCAAAUAAAAAUGGUACCGUUGCUAAUUUACUUGAGGAGGCUAAGAAGCAAGUAGAAUUAUCGGAAAAUGGUUCAGGGAAAUUAAGGAUAUUAGAAAUGACUUGCAACAAACUAUCACCUGGCCCUGGGGAUGAAACACCUUUAGAUCACUUAAACACAUCAGGUACCAAAUUGUAUAGGAUAGAAGAAAUACCACUUGACGAAGUGAAUCUAGCGGAGGGUGAAAUGCUAGUUCCUGUUGCACAUUUUCACAAAGAGGUUUUCUCAACAUUUGGUAUACCUUUCUUCUUUAAGAUCAAACAUGGUGAACCUUUUCCCAAGAUGAAGGAUAGGUUGUUGAAAAAAUUAGGAGUUCAGGAGAAAGAAUUCGAAAAGUUUAAGUUCGCGGUGGUGACAAUGGGCAAGCCGCAAUUCAUUAUUGACUCGCCGGACUCUUGUAUCAAAAUCGAGGAUUUCCUUCCCAGAUAUACCAGUCAGAUCUAUCCACUUUUAAACACAGGCACAUCGCCACAUAGGCCUUGGCUUGGCCUGGAACACGUCAACAAAGCGCCGAAACGCUCUCGCAUCAACUACCUCGAAAAGGCCAUUAAGAUAUACAAUUAAAUUUCCAUCAUACGAAGAAAAAAUUAAAUUAGGCAGCCACUCAUAAUAAUUUAUACGUAUUCUGUAUAGUAAGAGAGCGACGUCUGAUAUAUUGAAGGUUGGAAAAAUGCGUUCAUAUUCGUUUCUUCAGCCAGAUUAAACAUGCAAUUUUAAUACUGCAAGAAUGACAUCGAAAGCAAGUAUCUCGUGCGGUGAAUCACUCACGACAAGGUAACCUGUGUCUUGUGCAAGAUCUGUCGUUUGCGGAUCCUUAUUUAUCAUUUUCUACACUUUACUGUGAUCAACUUAACUUAGCCAACAUGUAUUGAAAGACCACGCCGGCUCUCGAACAUUUGAAAUAGCAUAAUUGUAAAUGUCAAGGAAGAUGCUAUGUGAGCUUUCUACAUUACUUAAUAAAUUUCUUUUUAAGUUGAGGAACUGUUUACUAUGGUCGUAAGAUUGUAAUGAGAUCCGUUAAAUUCGUAAAUUUUGACGUAAUUAGUUAAACUAUUUAAAAUUCUUUUGAACGUUCAAAAAUUAUUGAAUUACAGACUACGAGAACAUCGCAAGAGAAUCGUUUCGAAGAAAUACGAGCAAAAUUCAUAGUACGAGAAUGAUAUACCAAUAUACAUAAACAUGAAUUAUCUGCUAAGGUUUUAACGGACUUGCGAGGCAAUUCAUCAGAAGUGAUGAUGCGUUGUCUGAUCUAUUAAUAAUAAUAUAACUAGAAGAAAUCUAUAACAGUGGUGUUUGAAAAAGACUGGACGCAUAAGUUAAGCAAGAGUGGCACGCACGCAGAAUAUUUUGUAAAAAGGAAUUUUAAUGUGGCUGUAUAGACUGAUCGAUAAUGGCGUAUCUAAUUAAUCAUAAUCUCAAUAUCGUGUAUCUAAAGAAAGCUGUUCCAAAUGAUGUUUUGUGGAUGCCAAGUAUUUUCCUUUUGCUACUUAUUAUAUACAUAUACACACGCUCGUGCGCGCACGCACACAUUUGUGGAUCCAUUCAGAAUAAUUUAGCGGCAUGCUUGUUAAGUGUGUUGUCAAGGUGGAUGCGAGAAAGAGAGAGAUAGAGAGAAACUGUAUGUGUGUGAGUAUCAUAAAUUUCAAAUUGAGUUGUAAGAAGCAUCAUCACAGAUUUGAUUACUGAAGAGAUAUUUCCCACAAACACAGUUGAGAUACAAGUACCUGUCUUUGAAUGCUAAAGAUUGGUGUUUACAAAUCGUUAUAUUAUAAUCGCGACUAUAUUUUUUUCCUUUAGCGCUAUUCUUUUUAGGCAAAAGGGAUUAAUCACUUCACAAAGAGUCUGUCGAAUCGCAAUUGAAAAGUAAACACUGACGAUAGAUCUCACGGUGGAAGCAGUAGUAAUGAUAUUUUAUUUCUCUCUGCGAGAGAAGAAUAAAAUAGUAAGGUGGAAAUUCUUGUAAACAUGAACGUAGCGGAAAAUUAUAACGAAUCAUGCAUUUUUUCAAAUUAUUACACAUACGUUUGUAUGUAUAUAUUUUAUAUAUAUAUAU